rnacentral:rRNA from 1 species
GUCAUAUGGAUUGUGUCAGCAGCCGCGCGGUAAUACGAAGGGACCUAGCGUAGUUCGGAAUUACUGGGCUUAAAGAGUUCGUAGGUGGUUAAAAAAGUUGGUGGUGAAAUCCCAGAGCUUAACUCUGGAACUGCCAUCAAAACUUUUUAGCUAGAGUAUGAUAGAGGAAAGCAGAAUUUCUAGUGUAGAGGUGAAAUUCGUAGAUAUUAGAAAGAAUACCGAUUGCGAAGGCAGCUUUCUGGAUCAUUACUGACACUGAGGAACGAAAGCAUGGGUAGCGAAGAGGAUUAGAUACCCUCGUAGUCCAUGCCGUAAACGAUGUGUGUUAGACGUUGGAAAUUUAUUUUCUGUGUCGCAGCGAAAGCAAUAAACACACCGCCUGGGGAGUACGACCGCAAGGUUAAAACUCAAAUGAAUUGACGGGGACCCGCACAAGUAGUGGAGCAUGUGGUUUAAUUCGAAGAUACGCGCAGAACCUUACCAACACUUGACAUGUUCGUCGCGACUUUAAGAGAUUAAAGUUUUCGGUUCGGCCGGACGAAACACAGGUGCUGCAUGGCUGUCGUCAGCUCGUGUCGUGAGAUGUUGGGUUAAGUCCCGCAACGAGCGCAACCCUCACUUUUAGUUGCCAUCAUUUAGUUGGGCACUCUGAAAGAACUGCCAGUGAUAAGCUGGAGGAAGGUGGGGAUGACGUCAAGUCCUCAUGGCCCUUACGUGUUGGGCUACACACGUGCUACAAUGGCAUUUACAAUAGGAAGCAAGACGGCGACGUUAAGCAAAUCCUAAAAAAAUGCCUCAGUUCGGAUUGUACUCUGCAACUCGAGUACAUGAAGCUGGAAUUACUAGUAAUCGCGGAUCAGCGCGCCGCGGUGAAUACGUUCCCGGGUCUUGCACACACCGCCCGUCA